AGUGCGAAUGCUGACAUAAGUAACGAUAAAGCGGGUGAAAAGCCCGCUCGCCGGAAGACCAAGGGUUCCUGUCCAACGUUAAUCGGGGCAGGGUGAGUCGACCCCUAAGGCGAGGCCGAAAGGCGUAGUCGAUGGGAAACAGGUUAAUAUUCCUGUACUUGGUGUUACUGCGAAGGGGGGACGGAGAAGGCUAUGUUGGCCGGGCGACGGUUGUCCCGGUUUAAGCGUGUAGGCUGGUUUUCCAGGCAAAUCCGGAAAAUCAAGGCUGAGGCGUGAUGACGAGGCACUACGGUGCUGAAGCAACAAAUGCCCUGCUUCCAGGAAAAGCCUCUAAGCAUCAGGUAACAUCAAAUCGUACCCCAAACCGACACAGGUGGUCAGGUAGAGAAUACCAAGGCGCUUGAGAGAACUCGGGUGAAGGAACUAGGCAAAAUGGUGCCG
rnacentral:rRNA from 1 species